CCAUUUCUUAGUUUUUAGGGAAAACUUCAAAAACCCCCCCCUGUGGUUUCAUGCAUUCUCACUUUACUAUCCUGUGGUUUAAAACGUAUCAAUUUGCCCCCCUGUGGUUUCAUUUUUAUUUUUUCGGAAGCUUUUUCGUUAACAUUUCGUUAAAUUAUAUACAAAAAACUUCAGAUAACCAUCUAUAUUUAUCGAAUAUUCACUUUAGUAUCCUUUAAUUUUAACUUUGUCACUGAUUUAAAAAAAAAAUAAUAAUAAAAUUGAUAACAAAAAGAGAAAAACGAAACCACAUGGGGGCAAAUUGAUACGUUUUAAACCACAGGGUACUAAAGUGAGAAAGCACGAAACCACAGGGGGGGUUUUUGAAGUUUUCCCUAGUUUUUAAAACAUAAUCUCUAUGCGCAAAUGGAUGGUAUAAUGUUCGCAGCCCAUACAUCACAUUGGGGAAUCAGGCGAAGAAGACAAAUAAGCAACAGUGAUUCUUUUCCUCUUAGUUUUUUUAAAGGGACAAUUAUUUAUAUAUUUCUGAAAAGUUUCUGUUUUUUCGAUUUAUCCCUCUUAAAAGGCUAAUAUGGAAAAUACCCUUACUACGGUCCAACCUAUUUCUAAUAUACCCAUAGUGUUAAAAUAUGUUAAUUAAUUCUGUUAUUUCUGUAAAAUUACUAUUUUGUCCUUUCAAAUAUACCCUUUCACCAUCAUUGUCUUUUUUAUUUGCUCUUAAAGUCGUGACACAAAAAGUAUUUUGACUUUUAGUCUUUUCUAAUAUACCCCUCUACCGUCACCAACAUUUCUUAUUUGCCCUUAAACUAAGUGUAAAAUUGGCAUAUUAAUUUUUUUUAACUGUGCUAAAUAUUUAACUCACGUUUAACCUAAAUUAACUUAACAGGAGAUAACUGUAGGGAUAUUUUACAGUUGAGUAGACUUUUCUUCAAACGUAUGAGGGGUAUACAAAAGAAUAGAUGUAGACUUUUCUUCAAACGUAGCUCUCCACAUUUCUAAAUAUUUAGCACAGUUAAAAGCAACCAUAUUUAACUUAACCCAAAAGAAAAGAUGUAGACUUUUCUUCAACAUUUAAUCAGCCAGUCAGACUGCAGACCACGUGCAGCAAUUUCUUAAUCUGCCAAUCCCAAAAAUCUGACAUUUGGCCACUCUUUUUCUCAGCAAUUUUUAAAACAUUUUUUUUUAAUUUUAUUUUCAUUGGAAGCUAUACAAGUUAUUCAAACGACAUGAAAAUUUGAAACAAGAUGAAAAUUGUUUGUUCAGGGCUUUGCUGCAACUUAAGGGGUUCGCAAAUUUCUUCCCGACACAGUACUGCAGCAGCAUAUAGGAAAGAUGAAGAAACGUGAAAUUAGCUACUCAAAUCAAAUUGCCCCGGACACCUAAUGAACCAAUAGAAUAUACACUUUCAUGCAAUCACAACCAACGGGAAUCCGCGAUUAAAACUCCUCUGUAAAGCAAUCAACAAAGAUUGAUACAUACCGACCGUCCUUAGUACAAGCGGCAAAGGGCUUGGCGUUCGAGGUCCCAAGUUCGAAUUCCAGUUGAUUGAUAUUUUCAACUAAGCUUAUUUAUAAAAAAAUAAACGAAGUGAGUAAAAUGCUAUCUUUCUCUUAAAAAAAUAUGUGCCCACACAUCUGGGUUGGAGAACCAAUUCGCGCCAAGCUCACAAAUUGAUCAACCUCGAUAGCUCUGCCAACUUGGUUCUUUUUUUUUUUUUUUUUCAGUUUCUUUCACUAAUUCGAGGUGAACACAAGUAGACCUUAUUCAGGCUCGAAAUUAAUUCGAGCCAGCUUGAAUUCGGCUCGAAUUCCAUCAUGUUCGGCUCGUUUGCUCCCCUACUUGCGAUAUGCAUUAGAAUUCUUCUUUUAAUAGGAAAAAGAUAUGUUUUCUUUUUAAGCUAUUACUUCCGUAGAAUAUUGAAAAUUUGAGUACGCAGUACAUAUAUAUAUAACUGGGGAAAAUUGAAACCUCAACUAAUGAAAACAAAACGAAGACCAAGUAAUUGUGGAUUAACCUAGAUAUAAUUCUGCUCAUUCUUCUUCUUCUUCUUUAUCCGAUAAUCGCACUUCUUAUUUUAGAAUUGCUGAGGGGUUUAAAUUCUACCUAUUUCCAAAUAUAUAUCAAGAGGCCGAUUGAAAGAAGCUAUGGAGCGCGAGCCGUAACUAGACUCCAACUUGGAAAAUCGAACGGGUCUCCAAUAAAAAUCGGAUCCACCAAAUUAACAAAUCCAUAUACAAGGAGCUUCGCAACAUCAGCCAGGCUGAAAUUUUUACACACAUAAUUUUUGGACGGCAACAUCAACCGAAUUGAAGCCGAUAAUUCAUGGCACAUGAAUAAGAAGUCAAGGGACUAAAAUAGCAAAUAAGGUUUGAUGCGACUGAGUUUAUUUAUCAUUAUUAACCCAUGCAAUGCACGAGAUAUAACCUUUUUUUCUUUUUUUCUUUUUUCGAAAAAUAGAUAGCAAGCUACCUGCUUCAUUCAUUAAGUAAAAUAAACGAAACGUACAUGAUGGAGAGAGACAGCUAGAGCCUCCUGAAAGAGCCGAAAAAAUACAAGAUCGAUACAAGCUAAGAUAUAACCAUAUAUUACAUAUGAUAAAGUUCGCUUUUAUUGUCAUACAUCCAUACGCAUAUAUAAUAUUUUUAACAGAAUGAUACGAGUUUCGGUCGCGAUUACUUCACAACAUAAGCAUUCUAGUAGAAUAAUACUCACAGCUCGUUACCCCAUGACUUAUUCCAAGUAACCUCCACUCGAAUUUCACCAUACUUCCCAGCAAUAUUCUUCUCAGAUGUUCCGUGGAAGAGCGGAGGGAAGUCUGCAGUUCCAUUUGCAAUCUCAUCGUCGGGAGUGAUUGUAUCGUGAUCGUACAAUUCUGCCCUAACACUGAGGGAGUUUUUGGUUGGAACUGCUACUGUCUUCUUCGUCAGUACAAUGCAUUCCCCAGGGCUUACAUUUAUGUACUCCUCUUUCUUCUUACGAAAGAGCAGAGUCUUCUCCCCAGAAGGAUAAUCGCUAUAAGAAGCAGAAAUAUCUCCAUAAACAUCAGCAGGGUUUUCCCCAUCUCCAUUUAUGAGACGAACAGCAAUAGUCGCCUCCACCGCAUCACUUAACACCGUGUAGCAAACUCUUGCAGAACCGUUCUCUCCUUUAACAUCAGCAUAUAAAAUGCUGUCAAAGACAUUGGCGGUGUCGAAAACAUUCCAUGCGAUUUCCCCAUUACUUACUUCAUCAUCCCAACUCACAGCAUCCCUAUCCAAGAGAUGAAGUUUCACAGUGAAGCUAUCAUAAGCUGUGAUAGCUCUACUGGGGCCAGUUAGUAAAAUUUUGUUGCCCGGAUAGAUGGUUUCGUAACUAUCCCGUUGUCGAUCAUAGAUGAACUGACACCCCAGUCCAUCCGCAACCGUGAUUGUGCCGUAGAGCUCGCCGGGGUUCUCGCCGUCGAUGUUGUCGAUGCACACCCAGAACACCUCCACCAUCCGCCGUCCUUGUGGCAAACACAUAUUGUUGUCCUCAGCCGCCAGCAACGUGCGUGGGGGCCUAGGCUUUCCAAAGUUGAAGAAUAGCAAGAUUCCGAGUGCAGCAGCCGCUUCCUCAGCUAUCGUUAUUUGCAUGUCAUUGGGUUGCGGAAGCCGAAAGUAAUGAGUGGCAUCUGCGUCGGCGCGUAGUAAUGCUUCAGAAAGGGUCCCCCAGCCGUGUUCCAGCGCGGUCAUCCAAGUAGGGGGCGGGGAACCGGGGUUAUAUUGGGUAGCCAGAUGCUCGGAGAUACGACUAAAUCUGAUUGAUUCACAUAUCAUUUGAAUCACGACAAUCAAUUGCUUUGCCCUCUCCUGGCGAUCUUCAGUCCAAGCAAGUUGGUUUACAGCAGUUAUGAGCUGAGGCUGGCCGAGGUUUAUGCGAUCUAUCGAUUGUCUGGCAGCAUUUUGUAAGUCAUUGUAACUACCGCCGAAGCCCAGAAAGUUGGAUUCGGGAUGACCACUUCCAAACUGUAACCACUGAUCAGAAUUCUCCAUUUGGUAGCCGUCCAAGUAAAGGUUAUCUCGCCGAAUCCGAAGCUUAAUCUCAUGUUGUUCGGUGUUUUGUAUGGUUUGCAGUACCACCACACAGAACCUCCUGUUGGUAUCAUUAGGAUCAUCAAUUUCAUUAGGAUCAUGAAGCACAGGGCGACCGUGUGAAGACCUACUAGAUGCCAAUUCGUGGCGCAAGGAUUCAAUGAAUUUCUUGUAAGCCACCCAUUCAUGACCUGUACUAACUUCCACCUUAAAUGUGAACUCCAUUAUGUUCUGUUUUUGAGAAAACAUAAGCAAAAAAAAAAAAAAAAAAAAAAAAAACCUUGUUAGAGAAUACAUGGGUUGAAAAAGGACCUAGCAAUGAAUGAAUCACAAUGAUGGAAUUGAGCUUCUAUGUUUUUAAAAGUACAAGUUAUUAGUGCUUGUAGAUUUUUUAUCAUUGGACUAAAAUAUGUAUAGUUAAGAUGAUGUGAGUGAGAUAGUUUAAAAGAUCUAAAUUAUGUUUAAUGAUAUUGAUCGUUGAUUUGAAAGCUUCAUCAUUGAAAAUAAAUCAGUAGUAAUAAAGUCCAUUUAUUACUGAUAGCAUUUCAGCUCAACUCUCUCUUUAUAUAUUUAUAUAAGUUUGUACUGUAGCAAACUUGAAAAUUUACAUACCUUGGGGCUUACAAACAAAGAAAAGGUAGAGCGGCACAUAUAUUCUAGUGAUUACUUUAGCACGCCGAAAUAGCAGCAGUUGAAAGGUAGUAGCACACUGUCUAAGGGCCUAUUUGGCCUAACUUCUGAAAAAGUGAUUUCUGAAAAAGUGAUUUCGGUUUGGAAAAGUGAUUUCUGUUAAAAGUUGUAGAGCGUUUGGUGAGUCUGAUAUAAAAGUGAUUUUGCUGAAGUGAUUUUAGAAAGUUGUUUGGCAAAUUUUUUUGCUGAAGUGAUUUUGUAAUGCUGUUUCACAAUAGUCAUUUUAAAAACUAAUUAAUAUUACAUGCCAAUAUUUCAAGUUAUCAAUAACUAUUUAAAUAUAAAAAAUUGUAGAAUGAUAAAUAUUCAUUUGGAUAACAAUUUAUCUAAAAUCAUCAAUGAUGCAGCAAUACGAUCGCGAGUUUGGAUAACAAUUAACCACAUUUUUCCAUCCAAUUCCUAUUAAAAUGAGUAUUAGGUCGGUUCCCAGCAUUGACCUCUUCAACACAUAUUUCGCAAAAAAUUUUGAGCAAUAAUGUAUCCCACGUAGCUUUAAUUUUUUUUUUUCUUUCGGGGUAGAUGGUUCUCCUUGUGAUGGAUUUAUCUUUCAACUUUCUAAUAAAAAAAUUAUGUAUUAAAAAAUACAAACAACACAAAUGCUAAACAAAUAAUCGAAAUAUCGCAUACAAACUACACAAUACUACAAAUUAAAUAAAAUUUUAAAAUAUUACACACUACAAACUAAUCAAACAAUCAAACACACAUGCUAAGUUGAAGUGAUUAAUAAGCAACUUGAAGUGAUUAAUCAACCAGUUGGGCUCCAACGGACCACAAGUAUCAUGUACCAUUAAGUGAGAAAUGCGGAGAGAAGUGCCAUAAAAAUAAAAUCUCAUCAAUGGCUGCAACUUUACUGUAAAUGGGAGUUGAAUUGAUGGAUAAGUGAGAAAUUCAACUUUAAUGUAAAUGGCUGCAACUUUAUUAUAUGCUAUCCAACAAUCCCAAUAGGUGGAAGCCACCAUGUUACAUGGCAAAGAGCUGGGUCCAUUGACCAUAACAAACUCACAAUUAAUUAGUAACCUGAAGCAUGAGCACAUCUUAUCUACUCUGAAAAAAAGACAAGAACUGCCACAAGAAGAUAAAACUAAAGCUUUUAAGCCUCAAGAGAAGUGCUCGCAGAGCACAGUGGAGGAAUUUUAGUGAAAAAGUUAAUAGCACUUCCUCCCUCUCUGUCUUUGCCGGAUCCGGCCCCGGUGCGGCUGGACCCACGCCACGCCGGCAACGACCCCGGAUCCGACCUCGGAUCCGGCAAAGACAGAGAGGGAGAGAGAGAAAGCUGUAAAAAAAAAAAAAAAAUAAAGUAUCUUCUUUGGAGGUUCGCCGGAGAGAAGGUUCGCCGGUAAGAAAAGAUUCGCCGGAGAGAGGUGGCGCCGGAGAGGAAGAAGGGAGAGAGAUGGAGGAGAGGAGAGGAAAGUGAAAGUGAAAUUUUUAAAACUUCAAAAACCCCCCAUGUAGUUUCGUGCAUUUUCACUUUGCUACCCUGUGGUUUAAAAUAUAUCAAUUUANACGACCCCGGAUCCGACCUCGGAUCCGGCAAAGACAAAAAAAAAAAAAAAAAAAAAAAAAAAAAAAGAGAGAGAAGAGAGUACCUUCUUUGGAGGUUCGUCGGAGAGGAGGUUCGCCGGAAAGAAAAUAUUCGCCGGAGAGAGGUGGCGCCGGAGAGGAAGAAGGGAGAGAGAUGGAGGAGAGGAGAGGAAAGUGAAAGUGAAAUUUUUAAAACUUCAAAAACCCCCCAUGUAGUUUCGUGCAUUUUCACUUUGCUACCCUGUGGUUUAAAAUAUAUCAAUUUAUCCUCCUGUGGUUUCAUUUUUAUCUUUUCGGAAGCUUUUUCGUUAAUAUUUUGUUAAAUUAUAUACAAAAAACUUCAGAUAACCAUCUAUAUUUAUCGAAUAGUCACUUUAGUAUUCUUUAAUUUUAACUUUGUCACUGAUUUAAAAAAAUAAUAAUAAUAAAAUUGAUAACAAAAAAAUAAAAACGAAACCACAGGGGGGCAAAUUGAUAUGUUUUAAACCACAGAGUAGCAAAGUGAAAAUGCACGAAACCACAAGGGGGUUUUUUGAAGUUUUCCCUUUUUUUUUUAAUGUUGGAGAGAAAAGGUUGGCUGUGGUAAAUGAGAGAGAGAGAGAGAGAGAGAGAGAGGGAGGAGGGUAGUUGCAAGUGUAUUAAAUGAUAAAACGUUAAAGUAGAAUUAUAUUAUUUGUUUAGGGAUAGUUUAGGUAUUUUUAUAAAAAAUUUUAAGUGAGAAAAUUAUUUUUGUGGGUAUCAAUUUGAGAAGCUGCUUUUUGCUGCUUCUGUUUUUAGAGGUUGAAAAUUUAAUUUUCUGGUUCUCAGAAGCAAAAUUAGAUUUUAAAAUUUUUAUUGCCAAACACUCUACUUUUAGACUCAGAAUCACUUUUAAAAAGCUUGGCCAAACACCUCCUAACUCACAAACUUUUUACUUUACAAACUAUAGCUAAACU
rnacentral:lncRNA from 1 species